rnacentral:rRNA from 1 species
UCGGGAAUCUUGGGCAAUGGGGGCAACCCUGACCCAGCAACUCCGCGUGAGGGAUGAAGGCCCUCGGGUCGUAAACCUCUGUCGGGAGGGAAGAACGCGCCGUAGUCGAAUAGGCUGCGGUGUUGACGGUACCUCCAAAGGAAGCGCCGGCUAACUCCGUGCCAGCAGCCGCGGUAAUACGGAGGGCGCAAGCGUUGUUCGGAAUCAUUGGGCGUAAAGCGGGUGUAGGCGGCUUGGCAAGUCGGGUGUGAAAUCCCUGGGCCCAACCCAGGAACUGCACUCGAAACUGCCUCGCUAGAGUCCCGGAGAGGAAGGCGGAAUUCCCGGUGUAGAGGUGAAAUUCGUAGAUAUCGGGAGGAACACCAGUGGCGAAGGCGGCCUUCUGGACGGUGACUGACGCUCAGACCCGAAAGCGUGGGGAGCAAACAGGAUUAGAUACCCCCGUAGUCC